ensembl:snRNA U6 U6 spliceosomal RNA
GUGCUCGCAUCCUCAGCACAUAUAUUAAAACUGGAAUGAUACAGAGAAAAUUAGCAUGACUUCUACGCAAGGAUGACAUGCAAAUUCUUGAAGCAUUCCUUAUUUUU